rnacentral:misc_RNA from 1 species
UGAUUUAUGCAAUUUCAUCAUAUAAAAAAUGUUCGAAUAGUUAUGCGAGAUACAUAAAUACUGCUCACAAUAAUCGAAACAAAAUUCAAUAUAAUGCCAUGAGUAAACAAAAUAACUAAAAUGAACAGCAUUUUUCUACAUUAUUUGAUAGCUUGAGUUAUUGGGGCAACAUAUUACUUGUUCUUCUUCUUGCCUCUUUUUCUUGAACUAGGUUCAGCCUCUUGUUCUUCAGCCUUUUGCUCCGCCUCUAGUAUAGCCAACUCAUCAAGAAUUGGUUUAAGUUCCCUAUAACGAGCUUCAGCAAGAUCAAAACCAUCCUUGCGAAGCUCCUUUCCAGUGUGUUGCGUAUGUUCAUGGGCUGCCAUUUGCCAGUACAAGUUUGUCCGCCUAUAGAAAUCCCUCAAGGAUUCUCCAGGCACUGGGGUUCUUUGUGAAUCUGAAAGGCCAAGCUUGGCUCUAAUCUGCUCUAUCCUGGCUCGUUUCUCUUUCCUUCGAAGAUUCUUUUUCUCACCUUUUAUUAUAGCAACAGCAUCUCCCACUUGAAGUGAUGCAGAAUCAUUGUUCCUAGCCUCUGCAUCGCCAUCAUCACCAUCACCAUCAUCGUUAUCAUCAUUCUCAUCACUGCUGCCAUCACUGCUGCACCCAUCUUCACUUUCAUCUUCAUCCUCAUCAUCGUCUUCAUCCUCUGAGGCUUCAACCCACUCAGACUCAGAUGCCGGAAUAAUACACUUCCACUCAUCAAGUUUGCUGAGAUUUAGAGAACAUAAAUCGUCAAGUGUAAUUUCUUGGUCUUUACUCUCCAUCAUCCCCCCAUAUAUGUACAAUGUAUCUUUGCCAACAACCAUGCAAGAAUUUAUACGUCCACAGGGCUUCAUUAUCUCUGGUGAAACAGAAUUUUGCUGAACCAGUUUAGCUUUAGAUGCAUCAGGCUUUCCAUCAAAUUUGGCACCCAAAGAACCAUCAUCAACUACAGACAUGUUUGUUUUCAUAUGCUGGGAUAUUUCACCAAUGGUGCUUUCAGGAUCAGCUGCAUCUUCAAGGUAAUCUUGAUUCUCAUCAUCAUUUGUGGCACACUCCAUUUCCAUUGCAUUUAUCUUGUCUAUAUCAGAUCCAUUAGACCUUUGUUCAGAGCUUUUUUUUAACUUAUCUUUUGUUGACUUUUCCUUCCGCAGCUCCAAGGGAUACCAGCGAUAGUUGUCUAAUUGGAAGCCAUAAAGUUCAUUCAAGAACAAGCUCAUCAUGACGUCUCCUUCCCUUUCCAUGUCCACAACUCCCCCAAAUAACAAAGCACGCUUCUUAUGAACACACAUCGAGAACCCAGCACGAGGCCCAGGAGGCAUCCCACUUUUCUUUACCUUAUUCCAUUCCCAAGUCCUAGGAUCAAGGGACCACAUGUCUGAGUGAACAAUUCCUCUCUCAGAGCUAUUCUUAUCAGAUGCAACCUCUUUUGAAUAGCCACCAUAUAAAAAAAUUUCAUCUUGAUAAACAAAAAAUU